rnacentral:rRNA from 1 species
UACGUAGGUGGCGAGCGUUGUCCGGAUUUACUGGGCGUAAAGGGCGCGUAGGCGGACUUGCAAGUCUGUGGUGAAAGCCCCCAGCUCAACUGGGGAGGGUCGUGCGAAACGGGUGAACUAGAGGCCAGUAGGGGGAUGCGGAAUUCCGGGUGUAGUGGUGGAAUGCGUAGAGAUCCGGAGGAACACCAGCGGCGAAGGCGGCAUCCUGGACUGGUCCUGACACUCAGGAGCGAAAGCGUGGGGAGCGAUCCGG